rnacentral:rRNA from 1 species
UGCAAGUCGAGCGAACAGAUGAAGUGCUUGCACUUCUGACGUUAGCGGCGAACGGGUGAGUAACACGUAAGGAAUCUACCUAUAAGCGGGGGAUAACAUUCGGAAACGGGUGCUAAUACCGCAUAAUAUCUUCUUCCGCAUGGAAGAAGAUUGAAAGACGGCUCUGCUGUCACUUAUAGAUGACCUUGCGGUGCAUUAGUUAGUUGGUGGGGUAACGGCCUACCAAGACGAUGAUGCAUAGCCGACCUGAGAGGGUGAUCGGCCACAUUGGGACUGAGACACGGCCCAAACUCCUACGGGAGGCAGCAGUAGGGAAUCUUCCGCAAUGGGCGAAAGCCUGACGGAGCAAUGCCGCGUGAGUGAAGAAGGCCUUCGGGUCGUAAAACUCUGUUAUAAGAGAAGAACAAAUUGUAGAGUAACUGCUACAGUCUUGACGGUAUCUUAUCAGAAAGCCACGGCUAACUACGUGCCAGCAGCCGCGGUAAUACGUAGGUGGCAAGCGUUGUCCGGAUUUAUUGGGCGUAAAGGGAGCGCAGGUGGUUUCUUAAGUCUGAUGUGAAAGCCCACGGCUUAACCGUGGAGGGUCAUUGGAAACUGGGAAACUUGAGUACAGAAGAGGAAUGUGGAACUCCAUGUGUAGCGGUGGAAUGCGUAGAUAUAUGGAAGAACACCAGUGGCGAAGGCGACAUUCUGGUCUGUUACUGACACUGAGGCUCGAAAGCGUGGGGAGCAAACAGGAUUAGAUACCCUGGUAGUCCACGCCGUAAACGAUGAGUGCUAGGUGUUGGAGGGUUUCCGCCCUUCAGUGCCGCA